AUGCCAACCUUUUGUGAAGCUGCAGAAAAAAGAGGGCUCAUUGAGGCAGAUAGCACAUUGGACGACUGCAUGACAGAAGCGGAGUUGUUUAGAAUGCCAUCAUCGCUGCGAAGGCUAUUUGCGACAAUCUUGGUUUUUUGCGAAACCAGCGACGUACGUAGCCUCUGGAACAAGCACCUUGAGGCAAUGUCAGAGGACUACAGCAAAAAUUGCAAAUGCAAGCACACAGUCAAACAGAUGGUUCUGAAAAAUAUCAAAGACAUGUUGCACUCGAUGGGAAAAAACAUAGAAUCGUUUCCUCUUCCAGAGAUCGACGAACAGCAUGAGAUGACAGACGACAUACCGAGGGAGAUCAUCGAGGAGACCUCCAUCGAGGUGGAACACGAGGACGCAUCUUUGCAUAAGAACCUAAACAAGGAGCAGAAGGAGGCCUACGAUGAAAUCCUAGCAACAAUUGACCGCCAAAGAGGAGGUAUAUUCUUUGUCAAUGGACCUGGAGGCACGGGAAAAACUUUUCUUUAUAGGGCGCUCUUGGCCACAAGACGCGGACAAGGCAAGAUUGCUGUGGCGACAGCCACUUCCGGUGUUGCUGCUUCCAUAAUGCCCGGAGGGAGGACCGCACACUCAAGGUUCAAGAUUCCACUAAAAGUAGACGACGGGGCUAUUUGUGGAUUCACCAAACAGAGUGGGACAGCCAAGCUACUCAAAGCAGCAUCACUGGUAAUCUAG
rnacentral:rRNA from 1 species